rnacentral:rRNA from 1 species
GACGAACGCUGGCGGCGUGCUUAACACAUGCAAGUCGAACGGGAUUUAUUAAGAAGCUUGCUUCUUAAUAAAUCUAGUGGCGGACGGGUGAGUAACGCGUGGGCAAUCUGCCCGUAAGAGGGGGAUAACAUCGGGAAACCGGUGCUAAUACCGCAUAAUAUCUAUUGAUUGCAUGAUUGAUAGAUUAAAGGAGUAAUCCACUUACGGAUGAGCCCGCGUCUGAUUAGCUAGUUGGUAGGGUAACGGCCUACCAAGGCGACGAUCAGUAGCCGGCCUGAGAGGGUGACCAGCCACACUGGAACUGAGACACGGUCCAGACUCCUACGGGAGGCAGCAGUGGGGAAUCUUCCGCAAUGGGCGCAAGCCUGACUGAGCAACGCCGCGUGAGUGAUGAAGGCUUUAGGGUUGUAAAACUCUGUCUUUAGGGAAGAAGAAAGUGACGGUACCUAAGGAGGAAGCCCCGGCUAACUACGUGCCAGCCGCCGCGGUAA